GGGGGCAGGACAGGGAGCUCUUUCACACUACGCGCACACACACACAAUGCAUCCCUAUAUAUACACAAACACACAAUGCAUCCCUACACACACAGAAACACAACAUGCUUCCCUUACACACAGAGAAACACACAAUGCAUCCAUUGCACACAAAGACAAUGCAACCCCUUGCACACAUACACAGAAACACACAAUGCAAACCCUUACACACACAUGCAAACACACACACUGCUUCUCUUACAUAUACACAGAAACACAAUGCAUUUCAUACACACACUCAAUGCACACACUUACAGACACACACCUUGCAUCCCUUAUGCAUAUAAACACAGAUUCACACAAUACAUUGCUUAUACACAAACACACACUGCUUCC